rnacentral:lncRNA from 1 species
GGGGUCUUAUGAAAGAAGAAAAAUCUUACGAGGAAGAGUUCGAGAAUGCUUCUCGACAAUUUUAUAGCUGCAAGAAAAGGCGAGAUGAAGCAAGGGAUCAUGAAAUAUCAAGUUGAAAAAUAUUCCAUCAAUCCAAAAGAAACACGAUCAUAAAUCGUAUCUUGGAGGGGAGUGGGAUAAUUGGAUCUAUGAAGAGAAUCAGUCAUUGCCAAUGCAACAACUAGAAGACACCGUCACUCUCAACCAGAAAGCCACCGUUUGAAUCCAAAGAAGAUGAAUGUUGAAGUGGAAGUCGUGGCGUAUAUCAAUGAAGAGGCAUGUUUGAAUCCAAAGGAGUUGGUGGAAGUUGAUAUCACCUCGGUUGAUGUCAAAGAUGAUGAGUCUACUCCUAAGUUGCUAAAAUUGAAGGAUUCAAGUGACGAAGUGCUUGAGGAAUCUACUCCAACUACUUUGGAAGCAAAGGCUUUGGCGCAAGCUAAGGGCGUUGAAAAGGAGCAGCCCAUAGAUAAAAAGGAGAUUGGGUUUAUGCAGAAGUCAUUUCUUCAAGGGCUUGUGAUUGGAUGUGGGCCGUGAAGGAGGAGAGGCUGAUCAUUGUGUUGCGGUUCAAGGUUCAAGAGAAGUCAGAGUUAGAGCCGAAGAAGAAGAAUAAUGCACAAGGAGAAAAGCUAUGGUCCAACAGUCAAUUAAUGCAAGGAACGAAAAUUUGAUUUUUGAUCCCGGCAUUUGGAUUGACGACUUGGAUUUGAGGACAAAUCCCUUUCAAGAGGAGGGGAAUGAUGCAUGCCAUGGAGGCCCAAGUUACGUUGCAUAUGUGGGCUGAUUUAAUAGAGUCUUUUAUUUUGUUUUAUCUUAUAAUUUUCGUGGGUUAUGUUAGGGUGGCUGAAAUUAGGCCUUAGUUGAGUCAAUUUUGAGUUUUAUACCUUGUUUUGACUAAGGAUAUGUUUCCUUAUUAGAUUAGGAGUUAUUUUCCAUGUUUAUUUCCUAGUUUGGUAGGUUUUCGCAUACCUUAUUUGUAGUCUUUAUGAUGGACGAAAAUUAGGGCUUCUUGUUGUAGUUAGUUGUUUCCUUUUAGAUUAGGUCUUUUUUGCCUAUAUAUAGGCCUUCUUUUGACGAAUAUACAAUUUUAUCAAAAUUCGUGAGUUAUAUUCUCUCUUAGAUUCGAAUUUCUCUUGUACCAAGAGAGUUCAUUUAUCCGGCGUAACGGCGAGUCAACCAUCCCUCGUCGCGUGUCAUUCAUCGUCCCCGAGUUGCUGCGUCAACUUCACGUUGGGGUUUAGGGAUUCGUUCGCCUAAAUCAUUCCGUGGGUUAGAUUCAGAGGUUUUGGGAUUCCAUCUUCUGUUCGUUUUUCAAGUCUUCCGUUUGCGUAGUGUUCGAUUGAUCGGCAAGGAUCAUAUCAUUUGGCACCAGAGCCGCGUUUCGUAUCCAGAUUUUCGCAGGAAAUCAAGUUCUGGCAGUCUCCGAAAAACGGCCAUAACUUUCUGUACAGAGCUCGGAUUAAGGCGAAACAGGUGGCCACAGAAAGCUCUCUCGAAGACGAAGAAGUCGUAUUUCUGGGCAAAAUACGAUUGGAGGACGUUUGAUGCUUAAAACGAAGGGUUGAAGUUGGCUGACCUGUUCAGCGACGAAUUGAUAAAUUCCUAGGAAUUCUUCAGGAGUAUGACUGGAGUCGAUUUGCCUACAUAUAUGGUGGAAGAGCUGCAGAGAAUCAUAGAGAAUGCGUUUAAGCCUAUUCAUGAGAGGUUAGAGCAAUCUCAACGGAGACCGGAUCAGAAUUUUCUUCAGUCAAUUAGGCGUCCUCGAAGGGGUCUUAUGAAAGAAGAAAAAUCUUACGAGGAAGAGUUCGAGAAUGCUUCUCGACAAUUUUAUAGCUGCAAGAAAAGGCGAGAUGAAGCAAGGGAUCAUGAGAAUAUCAAGUUGAAAAAUAUUCCAUCAAUCCAAAAGAAACACGAUCAUAAAUCGUAUCUUGGAGGGGAGUGGGAUAAUUGGAUCUAUGAAGAGAAUCAGUCAUUGCCAAUGCAACAACUAGAAGACACCGUCACUCUCAACCAGACAAGCCACCGUUUGAAUCCAAAGAAGAUGAAUGUUGAAGUGGAAGUCGUUGCGUAUAUCAAUGAAGAGGCAUGUUUGAAUCCAAAUGAGUUGGUGGAAGUUGAUAGAGAGGUUGAUGUCAAAGAUGAUGAGUCUACUCCUAAGUUGCUAAAAUUGAAGGAUUCAAGUGAC